AUUCAUUUACUGAUGGGCACAUUUCUAUAGUUCGUUACUAGAAAGGUUUCUCUGAACAUGUAGAACACCUGAAAACAGAAGGAGGAGGCUCAAUAUUCUCUCCUGAGCAUGAAGCUGGCUUUUGAUGCUGUUUUUGCAAUUGCCAAUAGCCAUUGAUGAUUGUUCUUCUCUUCCUUUGGAAGAGUAAGAGGGAGAGAAUGCAGUCUGAGUGGU